UACGGGGGGGGCAAGCGUUGUCCGGAAUUAUUGGGCGUAAAGGGCGCGUAGGCGGUUCGUUAAGUCCUGUGUGAAAUCCCCCGGCUCAACUGGGGAACUGCACAGGAAACUAGCGGGCUUGAGUUCGGGAGAGGGAAGCGGAAUUCCGGGUGUAGCGGUGAAAUGCGUAGAUAUCCGGAGGAACACCGGUGGCGAAGGCGGCUUCCUGGACCGACACUGACGCUGAGGCGCGAAAGCUAGGGGAGCAAACGGG
rnacentral:rRNA from 1 species